rnacentral:rRNA from 1 species
AUACGAAGGGGGCUAGCGUUGUUCGGAAUUACUGGGCGUAAAGCGCACGUAGGCGGACGUUUAAGUCAGGGGUGAAAUCCCAGAGCUCAACUCUGGAACUGCCUUUGAUACUGGAUGACUUGAGUAUGGAAGAGGUAAGUGGAAUUGCGAGUGUAGAGGUGAAAUUCGUAGAUAUUAGCAGGAACACCUGUGGCGAAGGCGGCUUACUGGUCCAUUACUGACGCUGAGGUGCGAAAGCGUGGGGAGCAAACAGGAUGAGAUACCCUGGUAGUCCACGCCGUAAACGAUGAUAGCUAGCCGUCAGGAUGCAUGCAUUUUGGUGGCGCAGUUAACGCAUUAAGCUAUCCGCCUGGGGAGUACGGUCGCAAGAUUAAA